AACAAUAUUGACUGGGAAUUAAUAAUAAUGCCACAUGCAGAAGUUUAUUGUCAUUGAGACAGGAAAUAAGGAUUGAUUUUUGUCAGCAUAUUGAUCUACGGAAAAUAAUAAUUCCUUGAUUGCAAAGAAAGUAAAGUGCGUGGAACAGUGCUUGGUGUGCUAAUCUGUAGGAGACAACAGACAGGAUCUUAUGUACCACCACGGCAAUUACUGCCACAAGAUAUACAAUUCAGGAAGCGGAAAGACCUAUAACAAGGAUGACUAUCAAUCUGUGAGUACUGAGGUACCAAACACCGGCAGGACGUGUAACAGAACUGUACCUGGUGUAAUGAAAUUGUGUAAUAUAUACGAUACGAACAUGGAGGAAAUAAGACGACGGCAUGGAACUCAUGUAAACAAUCCUUUUCAUCUUGUCAGACGAUUCCUGUGUGCCGACACACUGACGCCAGUGAACAGGAUGUCGGAUGGGCCCUUAACAUCACUGACCACACCGAAGUUAUAAAAAGUACUCAAGAUGAUCCUGUCUGUCGGUAGGAAUGUCAGAACAAUUAUAUAAGCCGUGUUAUGACGUAACAAUAAAAAACAAAUAACACUUGUGGCAGGACAAUUGAUAACCAUUUACUUAUUAUCUGUCAUGCUUAUUUUCAUGAUUACCCUCAGAUUGGUCAAUAUAAAGCUAUUACAAUGAACUAUUUCUUAUUUCCUUUUAAAGCGGGUAUUUCGAUACCUGGCGUGCUGUAGAGGGUUAUAGUAUAUUGAAGAAGAUAUGAUGCACUAUGCACAAAAAAGCAAGUAACACCUCGGUCAAUGGUAA